rnacentral:rRNA from 1 species
UACGGGGGGGGCAAGCGUUGUUCGGAAUUACUGGGCGUAAAGGGCUCGUAGGCGGCCAACUAAGUCGGACGUGAAAUCCCCAGGCUCAACCUGGGGACUGCGUCCGAUACUGGAUGGCUUGAAUUCGGGAGAGGGAUGCAGAAUUCCAGGUGUAGCGGUGAAAUGCGUAGAUAUCUGGAGGAAUACCGGUGGCGAAGGCGGCAUCCUGGACCGACAUUGACGCUGAUGAGCGAAAGCUAGGGGAGCAAACGGG